rnacentral:lncRNA from 1 species
UAAUGUCUCUGCUUAGGAAUGAUUAAUUAAUAAAUGACAAGCAGUAUUCUAAUACUUUGCAUGCAUUACUUGUUUAAUCCUCAAACCAUGGUAGGUAUUGUUUUUAUCCCCAUCUCACUGAUAAAGAAACCACUGCUGCUACUGCUAAGUCACUUCAGUCCUGUCCGACUCUAGCGACCCCAUGGACUGCAGCCUUCCAGGCUCCUCCAUCCAUGGGAUUUUCCAGGCAAGAGUACUGGUGUGGGGUGCCAUUGCCUUCACUAAGAAGUUAAUUAAUUGCUUGAGUUUGCACUGGUGACAAGAAUUAGGGCCAGAAUUCACAGUCCAACAAUCUGACAUCAGAACCAAAGCAUUUUGCCACCAUGCUCAACACCAGCAACCAUUUGGGCUCUGAGAAAGUUGUUUAACCUUUGUGUCUAAUUCCUUUGUCUUUAAAGGCCUGUAACAGAACUUCCUGACUCCCCAGCUCAGAGAAGUAUUCUGAGAUUAAUGGCAGUGUGUGUCCAUUUCAGCCUGUGUGGGUCUCUCUCUUACGCACCAAGCCUCCUUUGAAGUUGAUAAAAGCCCUAAGUGUGUGUGAAGGGAAGCAGAGCCCUUGGUGGGUGAGGGGGAUGUGUAAAUAUUGAGGAAACAUAUAUAAAUCAUUUCUACUUUCUUGGAAAAUGAUCUAUAUAAACAUCAAAUAGUGUGAAACGCUUUGUUUUGAAUGUUUGCAGGUAAUGUUCUCCCAUAAGCAAGAUCCGCGUUUUGAAGUCACAAGCCCUGGAAAGUACCCACAGGGAAUAAAAGUAUGUUUCUCGGAUUUGCUCCUCAGCCUGAAGCGAGAGGAGGAGACGGUCUCUCUGUAGUGUCUUUUGUGGAUGGUGCCUUGGACCUGCAUUGCACAGCAGCCCUGCCCUGCUCCCUUCUACACCCCAGAUGCUUUCCUCACCAAAAUCACAGUGACCUUGGCAAUUCUAGAUCCUGGAAGAUAUCCACUCCUAGGGCUGGUUCAGUGUCUUAUUCGUUCCUGGCGUCUACCACUAUGUGAAGCAGAGUCCCUACCACUGAGUAGCAGCUUGAAAUUUCAGAAGAAAGAGAAGAGGAAGAAGGUGGCAGAGCCCUGUGAGAGGGCACUGGAGAACACGUUCUUGUUUUGCAGUUUGGUCACUGUGUAA